AUAUUACUCUUAAUUAUUAGGCAUCAACACAAUAUGUCUCCAAACACUAUGGUUUCUCUUCUCCUUUUGUUGAUUUUUUCAUGUGGUAUAUUAUUAUUAUUAGAUGAAGUGGAACCAAGGAAUGUUGUGUCUGUGCAUUGUGGCAGGGAUAGUGACUGUGACUUUAUAUGUCGUAAUCCAGAAUAUAAGUUUGAACCAUUUUGCUACAAGCGCCUUUGUAUCUGCGACCGCAGAUUCUUCUGCAAAAAUGAAUUUAGCUGUAGACUUGUAGGAAUUUAUUGUGAUGAUGAUAGUGGUAUUUCUCUCCAAUGUAUUAAUUACACAUGUCAAUGUCCUAACCCUUGGUGGAAAAAAAAAUUAAUGUUGUGACCUUGUACAAAAAUUCAUAGUAUAUGAAAUGUAUAAGAUUACGAGAUCCAAAAAAUCAGGUAUUUUGGUAGGAUCAUACGGUUGUAAUAUUCGAGUGUUGAUUAUUCAGAUGGUUACUCAAUUAAUAGUGUUAUUAUAUCAAGGUGUCACUUUCUAUGUUGAAGGAAAUUGAAAACAAGAAGAAAUGUGAUCUUAUGAGAUGAUAAUUAUUAA